AGUACGAAUUGAAAUGCCGUAGCGGGGACGUUGCGUCCACACAUGCCUUUGAAGGAAUGCCACAAAUCCCGAUAAUUAUGUAUCAUGGAUUGAAAUAUUUGAGACACAGAGGUUUUUGAUAUUUGUGCUCUUUGACGAACGACUUCUGCAGGAGCUAGAAUGCCACAAGAAACAACUUCGGCUACCGAAGCAGAGACCAGAUGAUUUCGGACUCCAGGUUUUUGUCGCGCCUUCGCAUAUUCGUACACAAAAAAGAAGGAAGAUGCUAUAACAAAAAGUUAGUAGAAUAUUAUGGAAAGCUCUGCUGUAAAUUGAGGAAUAUAAAACUUUUUAGUUAAAUAAAAAAACUCCCCCAAACAGCUGCUUUUGUCUUACCAGAAGGAAGUGUGCUAACUAAUACACUACUUAAGCCACGAUAAAGGUGUUGAAAACCUCCAGCUUGCUGAAAAGAUAGUGAAGACUGAACACGAGUAAUUAUUGUAGAAAGAGGAAAAACCUAAAAAAGAUAACGAUGUAAGUAGCUGGAUUGAUUUUUAAUUUUUAAAAACUGUAGGAUUAUAUACCAAUGUUUCUGAAUUACAUAGAGUUAAUAAAAUGAGUCUUUAUGAAAUACUAAAAAUUGCAUACCUGCAACUAAUCCGGAAAGACCACCAACCUUUACAGAUGUUAGUUAAAAGAAAGGAAUGAAACUCAAUUGUGUUCGAGUUCAAAAUUGCUUACUAAGAUAGGCUUCCAUUGAACCUCGUCAUCAGUCAUAUCGUUUCUGUUUUUGUGGUUUUGAAAAAAGAGCAGUGGAAUAGGAGGUCGAACCUAUGUGGAGAUGCACUAUAUUGAUUAUUAUGAAACCUGAAUGCUUUCUUGUUUAUUUCUCAGAUAUGUCAAUGUGAAUAACGACUUUUGGUGCAAAUAUUACAUUUUGUGAAAAACUAGUUUUUGAAAA